rnacentral:tRNA from 1 species
UCCAGUUUGGUCUAGUGGUUAAGGCACCUGACUAGAAUCCAGGAGACUGUGAGUUCUAGUCCUGCCUCAGGAA